AAGGACACCUGAUGGGGCUUUUUGUGUAGACCUACACUGUUGGAAAUGACUCAUAGGGUAACUGUGAUUUCCUUUCCUCACAGAACUAUGUUUUAGGUCGGUGGGAAAGAACUACAAGACAGAG
ensembl:snoRNA